GUCGGACGGUAGCACAGAGAGCUUGCUCUCGGGUGACGAGUGGCGGACGGGUGAGUAAUGUCUGGGGAUCUGCCCGAUAGAGGGGGAUAACCACUGGAAACGGUGGCUAAUACCGCAUAACGUCGCAAGACCAAAGAGGGGGACCUUCGGGCCUCUCACUAUCGGAUGAACCCAGAUGGGAUUAGCUAGUAGGCGGGGUAAUGGCCCACCUAGGCGACGAUCCCUAGCUGGUCUGAGAGGAUGACCAGCCACACUGGAACUGAGACACGGUCCAGACUCCUACGGGAGGCAGCAGUGGGGAAUAUUGCACAAUGGGCGCAAGCCUGAUGCAGCCAUGCCGCGUGUAUGAAGAAGGCCUUCGGGUUGUAAAGUACUUUCAGCGGGGAGGAAGGCGAUGCGGUUAAUAACCGCGUCGAUUGACGUUACCCGCAGAAGAAGCACCGGCUAACUCCGUGCCAGCAGCCGCGGUAAUACGGAGGGUGCAAGCGUUAAUCGGAAUUACUGGGCGUAAAGCGCACGCAGGCGGUCUGUUAAGUCAGAUGUGAGAUCCCCGGGCUUAACCUGGGAACUGCAUUUGAAACUG
rnacentral:rRNA from 1 species